CUAAAAUAGACUUUAACCGCCUAAUAUUUAUACUUGGCAAUUCCAUCUGAUCAUGUGGCCUGAAACUGCUGUAUAUUUUCCCAAAAUGUCGUCUCUUGCUGCAAGUCCCGGCUGUGCGUUUCGUCUCAUGUAGAAAUACUCCACAACAGUAAAAGUGAUCAUUGUGGUGAAGUCUGAGCUUCUUCAUUGCAGUCCAAUGCGCUGUGAUGUGCAAUUUGUUACAGCCAGCUGGCGAAAAGGGUUCCUCUUGCAGGCUUGCUAUCUGUACCGUUUUUAGCUUUCGUCACAUUCAGAAACACUUCCGAACAAUUUAAAGUAAUUGAGUUGAUCAACUUUUUGACAUAGGAUUAGCAGCCUCUUGAGGUUGAGCCUUUUUUUUUGCAGUCCAAUGUGUACAUGAAUUUUGUGCAGAGCCAGCUAGUGAACGGUGUGGUCAGCUGUUGCAUGCAGACGGUGGUGCUGGUGUCGUUCGUUCAUUUAACUAUGGACCGUUCAGUCGUUCGUUUAUCGUAAGAAAUCGAUCACUUGUCGUAGAUUUCCAUGGUCAGUUUUAUGUUUGAGCUGUUUAUGGUGUUGCUGUAUGGGGUACAGUGGUUUUGCAGACAUUUUCCAGUUGAGAGAUGCGCUGAAAUUGAGCUUGUGCAGACUUGCAGUUGAACAUCAUACUUUAAUGAGUCAUUUGCAGUCAUUGCAUUUAAUGUGUCCAUGCAGUAUAUGCAGCGUUACGCAAAAUAGUCUAUGUUGGCUGAUGGCUGUUGGGCUUAUUUUAUCGGCAGCAUUUUGCCGACAUGUCGUCUCUUGCUACCUGUACCGCUGUUGAGUUGAUUCGUUUGCCGCCGUUCCUUAGACUCAAUCCACCGGUGAAACUAAGAAGACGUUGCUGAAAUUCAAGAUUGAUCAAUAAAUUAUAUAAUAAAUUACAAGUGCAUAUCUGGGCUCCCUUUUUCAGUGGCCCCGUUUCCCUAACUAACCAACGCCCGCCAGUGGUCACUCACUCGCUGCAACAAUCAGGAGGAAGGGAGAUGUCUGGUCGAACGGGGACUUGCAAUGCGCAUGAUUCGAUGAAAUCUGUUGGAGGGUCAUGAGUCUAAGCCGGAAGCCUACUAUGAUGCAUUGCUCUCUUAAAAACUGUUCCUCGGCUC